UGGGGAAUAUUGCACAAUGGGCGCAAGCCUGAUGCAGCGACGCCGCGUGAGGGAUGACGGCCUUCGGGUUGUAAACCUCUUUCAGUAGGGACGAAGCGCAAGUGACGGUACCUAUAGAAGAAGGACCGGCCAACUACGUGCCAGCAGCCGCGGUAAUACGUAGGGUCCGAGCGUUGUCCGGAAUUACUGGGCGUAAAGAGCUCGUAGGUGGUUUGUCGCGUUGUUCGUGAAAACUCACAGCUCAACUGUGGGCGUGCGGGCGAUACGGGCAGACUAGAGUACUGCAGGGGAGACUGGAAUUCCUGGUGUAGCGGUGGAAUGCGCAGAUAUCAGGAGGAACACCGGUGGCGAAGGCGGGUCUCUGGGCAGUAACUGACGCUGAGGAGCGAAAGCGUGGGGAGCGAACAGGAUUAGAUACCCUGGUAGUCCACGCCGUAAACGGUGGGUACUAGGUGUGGGUUUCCUUCCUUGGGAUCCGUGCCGUAGCUAACGCAUUAAGUACCCCGCCUGGGGAGUACGGCCGCAAGGCUA
rnacentral:rRNA from 2 species